rnacentral:rRNA from 1 species
UACGAAGGGGGCUAGCGUUGUUCGGAAUUACUGGGCGUAAAGCGCACGUAGGCGGAUUUGUAAGUCAGGGGUGAAAUCACGGGGUUCAACCUCGGAACUGCCUUUGAUACUGCGAAUCUCGAGUCCGAUAGAGGUGAGUGGAAUUCCUAGUGUAGAGGUGAAAUUCGUAGAUAUUAGGAAGAACACCAGUGGCGAAGGCGGCUCACUGGAUCGGUACUGACGCUGAGGUGCGAAAGCGUGGGGAGCAAACAGG